GUACAAGUAACGUAUGAAGAGAUUUGGAUUGGAGAAGUGAACUGCUCUCUGGUUUCUCCUCAAAAUGUAAUGAAAUGAUAUGAACAGAACACCAGAAAAAAUAUGUUGGGAUUGAUUCAAGAUCAUGAGUUUCCAUGCAUGGAUUAUGCAAAUGAUUCAUAGUGGUCUAGUUUUCAAGAUACGCAAGUCAAUUAUGCAAGUUUAAUGCAUUGUUUUGUGUCGGAGAAGCGAACUACGGAACGGAACACGCAUGGUUAAAACAAAAUGGAAACAAGGAAUGCGGAUUCUGCUUGAUGAUAUUUGUCAGGGCAUCGAAGACAUAU